rnacentral:rRNA from 1 species
GAUGAACGCUGGCGGCGUGCCUAAUACAUGCAAGUCGAGCGAACGGACGAUAAGCUUGCUUCUCUGAUGUUAGCGGCGGACGGGUGAGUAACACGUGGAUAACCUACCUAUAAGACUGGGAUAACUUCGGGAAACCGGAGCUAAUACCGGAUGAUAUUUUGAACCGCAUGGUUCAAAAGUGAAAGACGGUCUUGCUGUCACUUAUAGAUGGAUCCGCGCUGCAUUAGCUAGUUGGUAAGGUAACGGCUUACCAAGGCAACGAUGCAUAGCCGACCUGAGAGGGUGAUCGGCCACACUGGAACUGAGACACGGUCCAGACUCCUACGGGAGGCAGCAGUAGGGAAUCUUCCGCAAUGGGCGAAAGCCUGACGGAGCAACGCCGCGUGAGUGAUGAAGGUCUUCGGAUCGUAAAACUCUGUUAUUAGGGAAGAACAUAUGUGUAAGUAACUGUGCACAUCUUGACGGUACCUAAUCAGAAAGCCACGGCUAACUACGUG